rnacentral:rRNA from 1 species
CCUACGGGAGGCAGCAGUGAGGAAUAUUGGUCAAUGGACGCAAGUCUGAACCAGCCAUGCCGCGUGCAGGAUGACGGCCCUAUGAGUUGUAAACUUCUUUUGUACGAGAGUAAACGCAGAUACGUGUAUCUGUCUGAAAGUAUCGUACGAAUAAGGAUCGGCUAACUCCGUGCCAGCAGCCGCGGUAAUACGGAGGAUUCAAGCGUUAUCCGGAUUUAUUGGGUUUAAAGGGUGCGUAGGUGGUCGGUUAAGUUAGUGGUGAAAUCUCGAGGCUCAACUUCAGAAUUGCCAUUGAUACUGGUCGGCUAGAGAGUAGUUGCGGUAGGCGGAAUGUAUGGUGUAGCGGUGAAAUGCUUAGAGAUCACGCAGAACACCGAUUGCGAAGGCAGCUUACCAAGCUGCUACUGACGUUGAGGCACGAAAGUGUGGGGAGCAAACAGGAUUAGAUACCCUGGUAGUC